GAUGAACGCUGGCGGCGUGCCUAAUACAUGCAAGUCGAGCGAACGGACGAGAAGCUUGCUUCUCUGAUGUUAGCGGCGGACGGGUGAGUAACACGUGGAUAACCUACCUAUAAGACUGGUAUAACUUCGGGAAACCGGAGCUAAUACCGGAUAAUAUUUUGAACCGCAUGGUUCAAAAGUGAAAGACGGUCUUGCUGUCACUUAUAGAUGGAUCCGCGCUGCAUUAGAUAGUUGGUAAGUUAACGGCUUACCACGGCGACGAUGCAUAGCCGACCGAAGAGGGGGAUAGGCCACACUGGAACUGAGACACGGUCCAGACUCCUACGGGAGGCAGCAGUAGGGAAUCUUACGCAAUAGGCGAAAGCCUGACGGAGCAACGCCGCGUGAGUGAUGAAGGUCUUCGGAUCGUAAAACUCUGUUAUUAGGGAAGAACAUAUGUGUAAGUAACUGUGCACAGCUUGACGGUACCUAAUCAGAAAGCCACGGCUAACUACGUG
rnacentral:rRNA from 1 species